AAAGUCGUAACAAGGUUUCCGUAGGUGAACCUGCGGAAGGAUCAUUAUCGAAUACAUAGGGAUGUGCUGGCAUUCAAUUGAAUCAGCUGGAUGCAAGUGCCACUCCCAAUCCACUAUUUAUAACCCUUGUGCACCACAUUGCAGACAGGCAGAGGAGUCAAAACAGUGACUGUUUCGACCAUUGCCAUGUCUGUGCUUUAAAUCACACCUCUGUAAUGUUAAAUUGAGUGGUUCAUCCAUGUAACAUGGAAAACCAGAACAACUUUCAACAAUGGAUCUCUUGGCUCUU
rnacentral:misc_RNA from 1 species